rnacentral:misc_RNA from 1 species
GAAAUGCGAUAAGUAAUGUGAAUUGCAGAAUUCCGUGAAUCAUCGAAUCUUUGAACGCACAUUGCGCCCUCUGGCAUUCCGGGGGGCAUGCCUGUCCGAGCGUCAUUACGCACCCUCAAGCCCGGCUUGUGUGAUCGGCCCCGGCGUCUCGUUCGCGAGACGGGCCCGAAAGGCAGCGGCGGCGUCGACCCGAUGAGCCCGAGCGUAUGGGGACUUCUGUCACACGUUCGCGGUGCGGACCGGCGCCUGCUUGACUUUUCUGAUUAUCCAGGUUGACCUCGGAUCAGGUAGGGAUACCCGCUGAACUUAAGC